rnacentral:lncRNA from 1 species
GUCACGGCACAAGCGGCUGAUUUCCAGAUAAAGGGAGCAAGUCAUAACUGGGAUGAGUGUUCCUAGGGCCAGAGGGAUGGAGGCAGUACCCCAGGGAAAGGGUGCUGGUGUCCGUGAACAUGGCCGUUUCACGCCUCCUGGUGCCGAUGGAGUGGCGCUUUCUACACCACAACUUGCUUCCUUCCUUCCUCAGUACUUCCCGGUGCCUUUCUGCCACUGAGGUCGGCCUCCUUUCAUGGAACUGAUGUACGUGAAUCUGCGACAUGGAUGCAUCAUCAUUUACAUAACCGGUUUCCAACCCGUGAACGUUGACGUCGUCUGCAAAUGUUCAUUCUCGGGAGCAGGGCUGCAGGAUCCUCCUGGGGGCCACUUUCUGCACAUGCACAGACUUCCGCAGAGAUUUUCAAACCUAAAACUGCUGCAUAAAAGAAAAUGCACAUUUAAAAUGUGAUAGAUGCCGCCAAUUUGCCCCUGAAACGUAUCCAUUUUCUCUGGUUUAUUUUCAUGAUUUCUCCUUAGAAUUUUUCACUGUCUGCAGCUAAUCCAUGUUCUGACCAUCGAUCGGCCUGGCUGUGUUUCCAUCAGCUGUGGACACCCUGUGGACAGACACGGGGCUCCUAUCAUCUCCCCUUGCCUUUCCAGGCCUGGGAACGUUUACUGAAUGAAUGAAUCCAAGGACUGAGCCACAGUUCAGGAGGACACACAUUUCCCCAGCCCCUACCAAUCCUGAAUGUUGAGAAUCCCUCCAAUUUAGCCAAUUUGAGAGAGGUAUCAUUGUUUUUAUACUAGUGAGGUUGAUUGAUUGUAUUUUAUGUUUAUUUGCCAUUUAUACAUAUUUCUUUAAUUUGCUUGUUCAUAUAAUUUUUUCCAUUCUUUAAUUGUUUUAGUUGUAUUUUUCUUGUUGAAGUGUGAGAUAUAUAUUUAUCUAUAUAUUAUAUACGCACAUAUAUAUAUCAUCUUAAUUCAAGGAAGCUUAAAGAUUUUAGCAAUUUAGUUCAGUACCAGUGAAUUUCAUCAAUCUUUUUUUCAAUCAACAAGCACAGAAUGGAUUCAUAAGCGAUAAUUUAGACUGUACUUUGUAACAUUGAUUAUAUCAUUGUCUUCACAUUUUCAUUUGGAUUUACUGUAUGGGAUAAUAGUAAUAUGCAAAGCAAUGAGCAUUAAAUAUGUGUAAAUAUUUAAACAUUCCAGAGUCAGUCAGAAAUUCUCCAUUGUGUUAAAAGACAGUGAAAUUUUAAAAA